rnacentral:rRNA from 1 species
GGUAAACGAUGGAUGCCCGCCGUUGGGUAUUUUUAUUCAGUGGCCAAGCGAAAGCGUUAAGCAUCCCACCUGGGGAGUACGCCGGCAACGGUGAAACUCAAAGGAAUUGACGGGGGCCCGCACAAGCGGAGGAACAUGUGGUUUAAUUCGAAGCAACGCGAAGAACCUUACCAAGUCUUGACAUCCCUCUGAAUGGGGGGCAAAGCCCCCAGGCCUUCGGGACAAAGGAGACAGGUGGUGCAUGGUUGUCGUCAGCUCGUGUCGUGAGAUGUUGGGUUAAGUCCCGCAACGAGCGCAACCCUUAUCCCCGGUAGCCAGCACGCAGCGGUGGGCACUCUGGAGGGACUGCCAGGGACAACUUGGAGGAAGGUGGGGAUGACGUCAAAUCAUCAUGCCCCUUAUGGCUUGGGCUACACACGUGCUACAAUGGCGUAAACAAAGGGAAGCAGCCCCGUGAGGGUGAGCAAACCCCAAAAAUAACGUCCCAGUUCGGAUCGUAGUCUGCAACCCGACUACAUGAAGCUGGAAUCGCUAGUAAUCGCGAAUCAGCAUGUCGCGGUGAAUACGUUCCCGGGUCUUGUACACACCGCCCGUCACACCAUGGGAGUUGGUAACGCCCGAAGUCAGUGACCUAACCGCAAGGGAGGAGCUGCCGAAGGUGGGACCAGUAACUGGGGUGAAGUCGUAACAAGGUACC